GCUGGGAACUGAACCUGGGUCCUCAGCAAAAACACUGACAGGUAGAAAACAUGGUUUGGUAACACCAUGCUUCAGAAUGUGACUGUGGAGCUAGUCGGCUUGACCUGGGGGCUGGAGAAAUGUUAAAGAGUGUUUGCUGCUCUUCCAGAGGACCAGAAUUUGACAUACAGCAUCCAUACCCAGUGGCUCCAAGGAAUUCAAUGCCCCUUUUUUAGCCUUUUCAAGCGGCGCGCGCGCACACACACAAAUAAAAGUAAAAGAAAAAAAUU